UAGGGAAUCUUCCGCAAUGGACGAAAGUCUGACGGAGCAACGCCGCGUGAGUGAUGAAGGUUUUCGGAUCGUAAAACUCUGUUGUUAGGGAAGAACAAGUACCGUUCGAAUAGGUCGGUACCUUGACGGUACCUCACCAGAAAGCCCCGGCUAACUACGCGCCAGCAGCCGCGGUAAUACGUAGGGGGCAAGCGUUGUCCGGAAUUAUUGGGCGUAAAGCGCGCGCAGGCGGUCUUUUAAGUCUGAUGUGAAAUCCCACGGCUUAACCGUGGAGGGUCAUUGGAAACUGGGGGACUUGAGUGCAGAAGAGGAGAGUGGAAUUCCACGUGUAGCGGUGAAAUGCGUAGAGAUGUGGAGGAACACCAGUGGCGAAGGCGACUCUCUGGUCUGUAACUGACGCUGAGGUGCGAAAGCGUGGGUAGCGAACAGGAUUAGAUACCCUGGUAGUCCAC
rnacentral:rRNA from 1 species